UUGGAGGGCAAGUCUGGUGCCAGCAGCCACGGUAAUUCCAGCUCCAAUAGCGUAUAUUAAAGUUGUUGCAGUUAAAAAGCUCGUAGUUGAAUUUCGGGGUUCUACCGUUGGUCGGGCUUUGUCUGUACUGGUGUGUAGAAUUUCUACCUUCUGGGGAACCAUCAUGCUAUUAAUUUAGCGUGGUGGGAAACCAGGACCUUUACCUUGAAAAAAUUAGUGUGUUCAAAGCAGGCUUAUGUCUGAAUACAUUAUCGUGGAAUAAUAGAAUAGGACGGUGGUCCUGUUUCGUUGGUUUCUGAAUCACCGUAAUGAUUAAUAGGGAUAGUUGGGGGCAUUAGUAUUCAAUUGUCAGAGGUGAAAUUCUUGGAUUUAUUGAAGACUAACUUCUGCGAAAGCAUUUGCCAAGGAUGUUUUCAUUAAUCAAGAACGAAAGUUAGGGGAUCGAAGACGAUCAGAUACCGUCGUAGUCUUAACCAUAAACUAUGCCGACUAGGGAUCGGACGAUGUUAAUUUUUCUUGACUCGUUCGGCGCCUUACGGGAAAC
rnacentral:rRNA from 1 species